CUGGACCUCUGGGUCACAUCCAGGCGACACCUUGUUAAAAUCUCCAUAGAUGCUGCUGAGUGAACCAAAGUCACAGAUAGCUGCCUUUCAGACCUGUGCACACAGCCAGAGACGCGGAGGAAAUGGCGAUGACCAGGAGUCGUCUUCAUGGGCUCAGGAGGCUGAGAUAUGUGUCAGGCACAGAGCGUAUCAGAUGGAUUUUUGCUGAGACCUUUAGAUGCGCCCUGUCCCCUGAGGGAGCUGUAGCUCAGGAUGGGCUCAGAAGAACAUCUUCCAAGAGAGGCCACUCAGGACCUGGGUCCUGCUCGAGACCACAUUCCCUGGCCAUGGAGACUUCUGUUUUCCCUGGCAGAAGACUCAGGGCCCAAAUCCAACCUGUGUGUGAGCCAUUCCCAGGGAAGUGACGUCCCAUGGCCCCCUACCAAGAGUCGCCUCCAGCAUGACACACUCAAGCCGGGACAGCAGAGCGAAUUCCCAGAACCAGCUCUGGGCGUGAUGAUUCAGCCUUUGGAGGGGUCGGUGGUGCAAGACAGCUUCCUUCAUCCUCACUGCCACCAGGACCAGGCUGGGCCAGCGGGCGGGCAGGCAAAGUCUGGCUGCCGGAGGCUGCUCUGAGCCGGGGGGACAGAAGGAGACAGUCCCCCGACUCGAGGUCUCCGAGGGAAACAAUGAGAGCCCAGGGCCCAUGGGGUGUGAGAGGGAACAUGUGGCCUGAUUCCACUUGAUCAGCACACAGUAGUUCCACUGAAGUCAGUCAAUGAGAUUAGAGGGCCACAGCCAGGAUUCACACCAGGGGCCAGCUCCGGGCACAGUGCUGGGCAGGCCUUGGAGGGUCCUUCCACCCGGGUGCAGGGGUGGGGGAGCCCAGGUCCCAGGCCAAGUGCUCCCUGACCACUUCUCUCUCAGCUCUCCCUGUGUGGUCACCUGAGAGCUCUGGGGUCACUAGCCAGCUCCAUCACAGACGACCUUGGGGUAGGGCCGCUGACCUUGACCAUGAUGGAUCCUUCUGUGUGGCUCCUGGGUUCAUGUGAUGGCUGGAGCUACUCUUGAAAACAGGUUUCUAAAAAUGAGUACGAGGUCUGGGAUGUAGCUCAGUGGUAGAGGACUUGCCUGGUAUGGACAAGGUCCUGAGUUCGAUGCCCAGCACUGCAAGAAAAAAAAAAGUGGUGGUGGCAGUAUUCCGGCGAGGGGAAGGAGGGAAGUAGGUAUUUGUCCAGUGGGAACCUGGGGGUGACAGACUGCAGAAGGGAACAGGGGAGGGCGCCCAGGUGCCCAGACUGAAGGACGCGGCAGGUGGAAGUUCGCAGAGCCCACCGGCCAGGGCUGCA
rnacentral:lncRNA from 1 species